GCUGAGGCGGAGAGAAGCGAGUUGCCGGUGCGAAAUAUCUAAAUUUUUAAGAUUGUAUUACUGGUGAAGAUUGUGGAGAGAGAGAAAUUUUAAGGAAUAAUUUAUUGAAAAAGCCACAAGGAGAAGAGCCACGAGUGACACGUAGAGGAGUCCCAGAGGCUUAGUGGUAUAGAUCCACUGUCUCUUUUGGAUAUUUAAUUUAUGAUUUAUAAUGUGUUAUAUUGCCAAUAUUAGGACUUUUUUAUGUUUAUUGUCAAUUAUAUGAAUAUAUAAAUGUAAUCAUGCCUUUCAAACUAUUUCUAUUUUUGGUACAAUUUGGAUGACUGUAAUUUUAAUAUUUGGUUUACUUUGGAUUGGUUAAAAUGGCAUGAUUAUAAGGUC